rnacentral:rRNA from 1 species
ACGCCUGCCCGGUGCUCGAAGGUUAAAGGAUGCGUCAGUCGCAAGAUGAAGCGUUGAAUUGAAGCCCGAGUAAACGGCGGCCGUAACUAUAACGGUCCUAAGGUAGCGAAAUUCCUUGUCGGUUAAAUACCGACCUGCAUGAAUGGCGUAACGAGAUGGGAGCUGUCUCAACCAGAGAUUCAGUGAAAUUGUAGUGGAGGUGAAAAUUCCUCCUACCCGCGGCAAGACGGAAAGACCCCGUGGACCUUUACUACAACUUAGCACUGCUAAUGGGAAUAUCAUGCGCAGGAUAGGUGGGAGGCUUUGAAGUACCGGGGCUUUGGCUCUUAUGGAGCCAUCCUUGAGAUACCACCCUUGAUGUUUCUGUUAGCUAACUGG